rnacentral:rRNA from 1 species
AAGCGGGAAGAGCUCAAAUUUAUAAUCUGGCACCUUCGGUGUCCGAGUUGUAAUCUCUAGAAAUGUUUUCCGCGCUGGACCGCACACAAGUCUGUUGGAAUACAGCGGCAUAGUGGUGAGACCCCCGUAUAUGGUGCGGACGCCCAGCGCUUUGUGAUACAUUUUCGAAGAGUCGAGUUGUUUGGGAAUGCAGCUCAAAUUGGGUGGUAAAUUCCAUCUAAAGCUAAAUAUUGGCGAGAGACCGAUAGCGAACAAGUACCGUGAGGGAAAGAUGAAAAGCACUUUGGAAAGAGAGUUAACAGUACGUGAAAUUGUUGGAAGGGAAACGCUUGAAGUCAGACUUGCUUGCCGAGCAAUCGGUUUGCAGGCCAGCAUCAGUUUUCCGGGAUGGAUAAUGGUAGAGAGAAGGUAGCAGUUUCGGCUGUGUUAUAGCUCUCUGCUGGAUACAUCUUGGGGGACUGAGGAACGCAGUGUGCCUUUGGCGGGGGUUUCGACCUCUUCACACUUAGGAUGCUGGUGGAAUGGCUUUAAACGACCCGUCUUGA